rnacentral:rRNA from 1 species
GAUGAACGCUGGCGGCGCGCCUAACACAUGCAAGUCGAACGAUUAAAGCACCUUCGGGUGUGUAUAAAGUGGCGAACGGCUGAGUAACACGUGGGCAACCUGCCCCUUUCAUUGGGAUAGCCACGGGAAACCGUGGAUAUACCGAAUACUUCGAGACUUCCGCAUGGAAGACUCGAGAAAGCCCCGGCGGAGAGGGAUGGGCCCGCGGCCUGUUAGCUUGUUGGUGGGGUAACGGCCUACCAAGGCAAUGAUGGGUAGCUGGGUUGAGAGACCGACCAGCCAGAUUGGGACUGAGACACGGCCCAGACUCCUACGGGAGGCAGCAGUGGGGAAUCUUGCACAAUGGGCGAAAGCCUGAUGCAGCGACGCCGCGUGCGGGAUGAAGGCCUUCGGGUUGUAAACCGCUUUCAGCAGGGACGAGGCGAAAGUGACGGUACCUGCAGAAGAAGCCCCGGCUAACUACGUG